rnacentral:rRNA from 1 species
AUUGAACGCUGGCGGCGUGCCUAACACAUGCAAGUCGUACGUGAAAGGGUCUUCGGACCCGAGUAAAGUGGCGCACGGGUGAGUAACACGUGGAUAAUCUACCGGGAAGUGAGGAAUAACAGCUGGAAACGGCUGCUAAUACCGCAUGAGCUUCAUAUUUAUCUAUGAAGGAAAGGGGGCCUCUGCAUAUGCUUCCGCUUUUCGAUGAGUCCGCGUCCCAUUAGCUAGUUGGUGAGGUAAAGGCCCACCAAGGCGACGAUGGGUAGCUGGUCUAAGAGGAUGAUCAGUCACAUUGGAACUGGAACACGGUCCAA